AGUGAACGCUGGCGGUAGGCCUAACACAUGCCAGUCGAACGGCAGCACAGUAAGAGCUUGCUCUUACGGGUGGCGAGUGGCGGACGGGUGAGGAAUACAUCGGAAUCUACUUUUUCGUGGGGGAUAACGUAGGGAAACUUACGCUAAUACCGCAUACGACCUACGCGUGAAAGCAGGGGAUCCUCGGACCUUGCGCGAUUGAAUGAGCCGAUGUCGGAUUAGCUAGUUGGCGGGGUAAAGGCCCACCAAGGCGACGAUCCGUAGCUGGUCUGAGAGGAUGAUCAGCCACACUGGAACUGAGACACGGUCCAGACUCCUACGGGAGGCAGCAGUGGGGAAUAUUGGACAAUGGGCGCAAGCCUGAUCCAGCCAUACCGCGUGGGUGAAGAAGGCCUUCGGGUUGUAAAGCCCUUUUGUUGGGAAAGAAAAGCAGCAGGUUAAUACCCCGCUGUUCUGACGGUACCCAAAGAAUAAGCACCGGCUAACUUCGUG
rnacentral:rRNA from 1 species